GUCUAUCAAUAGCAGCUCAGACAAGCCUUGAAUGCAAACACCCCUAUCAGCCAUGCCCCUGCAGCAGUUGGUUUAGCAGCGAGUGUGUGUUUGGAAUCUUAACAGUGAGGAUCCAGACGCAUUAUUGAAUGCCACUGAAGGGGUCAGAGAGAAAGGUGCACUGGGUAGGAGUGAUACAGAUGCACUGAGCGCACUAGCAGCACCAUCAUCAUGCAGAAAUUGCAAUCAGGGUCAUUCGGCAUCACUCUCCAGGGAAAUUUGCAUCCAUCUAGUUAAUCCGUACCUGUUUCCUGGCCUCUUGAUCAUCACAGUAACAAGUCGAUGAAGUGUUGCAUCCUGUGCCGAGUGCUGUUAGAACUGUUGCAUCGACAUUUAAAGAAAAAGAGACAUGAGGAUUUGUCUGCUCCAUACAAUACAGUAAAUUAAGGAAUUAGAGCAGGCAGACAGUAAUAUCUGUAUGAGAUAACUUAAGAAAUGUUGAUUCAAGUUUAGCCCACAUUCACAACCCGCUGGAUUAGCUUCCCGGCUGAGGAAAGCACAAGAAUUGAAAUGCAAAUAAGACGAGGAUUACUGAGAGAGCAUUCAGUCUAGCAGAGCCUCCUCCAUUAGCGGGUGAAGCACUGGCCACAUCUGAAAAAAGCAUCUAAGCCUAAUGAUCAUUCACAAGUUACUCAUUUUUGUUUAGAGGAGUUAAUAACGCUUGUCAACUGAAAUAAAGAUACAAAUAAGAGAUUGUUUCACACCUUACUGGGUCUGAACACAAUAUAACAACAGCAUAAUGAUCCAAUCUAAACCCCUAAUCCCCCUCCCUGUUACUCCACACGCUGCUGCAGUGUAGCAGGUAGUCCCUCUCCCCCGGAUCAUGUUUGCUUUUGUUAGUGUACACCAGAAAAUAUAAUAAGGCAAAUGUAACAAUGGCGAGAUGGGUAACUUUUUCUCCACACGGAAACAGGAUUUAUUUGCAAGUCAAGGAGUUGCAUCUGAAUCCAAAGAAAAUGG